rnacentral:misc_RNA from 1 species
GAUGAAGAACGCAGCGAAAUGCGAUAAGUAAUGUGAAAUGCAGAAUUCAGUGAAUCAUCGAAUCUUUGAACGCACAUUGCGCCCGCUAGUAUUCUGGCGGGCAUGCCUGUCCGAGCGUCAUUUCAACCCUCAAGCCCCCGGGCUUGGUGUUGGGGAUCGGCGAGCCUCCGCGCCCGCCGUCCCCUAAAUCUAGUGGCGGUCUCGCUGUAGCUUCCUCUGCGUAGUAGCACACCUCGCACUGGGAAACAGCGCGGCCACGCCGUUAAACCCCCAACUUCUGAACGUUUGACCUCGGAUCAGGUAGGAAUACCCGCUGAACUUAAGCAUAUCAAUAAGCGGAGGA